GGGUUGUGAGGUUAAGCGACUAAGCGUACACGGUGGAUGCCCUGGCAGUCAGAGGCGAUGAAGGGCGUGCUAAUCUGCGAUAAGCGCCGGUAAGGUGAUAUGAACCGUUAUAACCGGCGAUGCCCGAAUGGGGAAACCCAGUGUGACUCGUCACACUAUCAUUAACUGAAUCCAUAGGUUAAUGAGGCGAACCGGGGGAACUGAAACAUCUAAGUACCCCGAGGAAAAGAAAUCAACCGAGAUUCCCCCAGUAGCGGCGAGCGAACGGGGAGGAGCCCAGAGCCUGAAUCAGCAUGUGUGUUAGUGGAAGCGUCUGGAAAGGCGCGCGAUACAGGGUGACAGCCCCGUACACAAAAGCGCAUGUGCUGUGAGCUCGAUGAGUAGGGCGGGACACGUGGUAUCCUGUCUGAAUAUGGGGGGACCAUCCUCCAAGGCUAAAUACUCCUGACUGACCGAUAGUGAACCAGUACCGUGAGGGAAAGGCGAAAAGAACCCCGGCGAGGGGAGUGAAAAAGAACCUGAAACCGUGUACGUACAAGCAGUGGGAGCACAGGUUUACCUGUGUGACUGCGUACCUUUUGUAUAAUGGGUCAGCGACUUAUAUUCUGUAGCAAGGUUAACCGUAUAGGGGAGCCGUAGGGAAACCGAGUCUUAACCGGGCGUUAAGUUGCAGGGUAUAGACCCGAAACCCGGUGAUCUAGCCAUGGGCAGGUUGAAGGUUGGGUAACACUAACUGGAGGACCGAACCGACUAAUGUUGAAAAAUUAGCGGAUGACCUGUGGCUGGGGGUGAAAGGCCAAUCAAACCGGGAGAUAGCUGGUUCUCCCCGAAAGCUAUUUAGGUAGCGCCUCGUGAAUUCAUCUCCGGGGGUAGAGCACUGUUUCGGCUAGGGGGCCAUCCCGGCUUACCAACCCGAUGCAAACUGCGAAUACCGGAGAAUGUUAUCACGGGAGACACACGGCGGGUGCUAACGUCCGUCGUGAAGAGGGAAACAACCCAGACCGCCAGCUAAGGUCCCAAAGUCAUGGUUAAGUGGGAAACGAUGUGGGAAGGCCCAGACAGCCAGGAUGUUGGCUUAGAAGCAGCCAUCAUUUAAAGAAAGCGUAAUAGCUCACUGGUCGAGUCGGCCUGCGCGGAAGAUGUAACGGGGCUAAACCAUGCACCGAAGCUGCGGCAGCGACGCUUAUGCGUUGUUGGGUAGGGGAGCGUUCUGUAAGCCUGUGAAGGUGUGUCGUGAGGCAUGCUGGAGGUAUCAGAAGUGCGAAUGCUGACAUAAGUAACGAUAAAGCGGGUGAAAAGCCCGCUCGCCGGAAGACCAAGGGUUCCUGUCCAACGUUAAUCGGGGCAGGGUGAGUCGACCCCUAAGGCGAGGCCGAAAGGCGUAGUCGAUGGGAAACGGGUUAAUAUUCCCGUACUUGGUGUUACUGCGAAGGGGGGACGGAGAAGGCUAUGUUGGCCGGGCGACGGUUGUCCCGGUUUAAGCGUGUAGGUGUGUGUUCCAGGUAAAUCCGGUUCACUUUAACACUGAGGCGUGAUGACGAGGCACUACGGUGCUGAAGCAACAAAUGCCCUGCUUCCAGGAAAAGCCUCUAAGCAUCAGGUAACAUCAAAUCGUACCCCAAACCGACACAGGUGGUCAGGUAGAGAAUACCAAGGCGCUUGAGAGAACUCGGGUGAAGGAACUAGGCAAAAUGGUGCCGUAACUUCGGGAGAAGGCACGCUGAUAUGUAGGUGAAGUGAUUUACUCAUGGAGCUGAAAUCAGUCGAAGAUACCAGCUGGCUGCAACUGUUUAUUAAAAACACAGCACUGUGCAAACACGAAAGUGGACGUAUACGGUGUGACGCCUGCCCGGUGCCGGAAGGUUAAUUGAUGGGGUCAGCGCAAGCGAAGCUCCUGAUCGAAGCCCCGGUAAACGGCGGCCGUAACUAUAACGGUCCUAAGGUAGCGAAAUUCCUUGUCGGGUAAGUUCCGACCUGCACGAAUGGCGUAAUGAUGGCCAGGCUGUCUCCACCCGAGACUCAGUGAAAUUGAACUCGCUGUGAAGAUGCAGUGUACCCGCGGCAAGACGGAAAGACCCCGUGAACCUUUACUAUAGCUUGACACUGAACAUUGAGCCUUGAUGUGUAGGAUAGGUGGGAGGCUUUGAAGCGUGGACGCCAGUCUGCGUGGAGCCGACCUUGAAAUACCACCCUUUAAUGUUUGAUGUUCUAACGUGGACCCGUAAUCCGGGUUGCGGACAGUGUCUGGUGGGUAGUUUGACUGGGGCGGUCUCCUCCUAAAGAGUAACGGAGGAGCACGAAGGUUGGCUAAUCCUGGUCGGACAUCAGGAGGUUAGUGCAAUGGCAUAAGCCAGCUUGACUGCGAGCGUGACGGCGCGAGCAGGUGCGAAAGCAGGUCAUAGUGAUCCGGUGGUUCUGAAUGGAAGGGCCAUCGCUCAACGGAUAAAAGGUACUCCGGGGAUAACAGGCUGAUACCGCCCAAGAGUUCAUAUCGACGGCGGUGUUUGGCACCUCGAUGUCGGCUCAUCACAUCCUGGGGCUGAAGUAGGUCCCAAGGGUAUGGCUGUUCGCCAUUUAAAGUGGUACGCGAGCUGGGUUUAGAACGUCGUGAGACAGUUCGGUCCCUAUCUGCCGUGGGCGCUGGAGAACUGAGGGGGGCUGCUCCUAGUACGAGAGGACCGGAGUGGACGCAUCACUGGUGUUCGGGUUGUCAUGCCAAUGGCACUGCCCGGUAGCUAAAUGCGGAAAAGAUAAGUGCUGAAAGCAUCUAAGCACGAAACUUGCCCCGAGAUGAGUUCUCCCUGAGACUUAGAGUCUCCUGAAGGAACGUUGAAGACGACGACGUUGAUAGGCCGGGUGUGUAAGCACAGCGAUGCGUUGAGCUAACCGGUACUAAUGAACCGUGAGGCUUAACCUUACAACGCCGAAG
rnacentral:rRNA from 2 species